AGAAUCAACGCUGGCGGCGUGCUUAACACAUGCAAGUCGAACGAGAAAGUGGAGCAAUCCAUGAGUAAAGUGGCGCACGGGUGAGUAACACGUGACUAACCUACCCUUGAGUGGGGGAUAACCUAGGGAAACCUGGGCUAAUACCGCAUAAUACCUUCGGGUCAAAGGAGCAAUUCGCUUAAGGAGGGGGUCGCGGCCGAUUAGUUAGUUGGCGGGGUAAUGGCCCACCAAGACUGUGAUCGGUA
rnacentral:rRNA from 1 species